rnacentral:rRNA from 1 species
UGGGGAAUCUUGCGCAAUGGACGAAAGUCUGACGCAGCCACGCCGCGUGAGUGAAGAAGGCCUUCGGGUUGUAAAGCUCUGUCGGAGGGGACAAAAACCACUUAGGUUAAUAGCCUAGGUGCUUGAUGGUACCCUUAAAGGAAGCACCGGCUAACUUCGUGCCAGCAGCCGCGGUAAUACGAAGGGUGCAAGCGUUGCUCGGAAUUAUUGGGCGUAAAGGGUAGGUAGGUGGUGACAAAAGUCUAGGGUGAAAUCCCUGAGCUCAACUCAGGACGUGCCUUGGAAACUUUGUUACUAGAGUACUGGAGAGGUUCGUAGAAUUCCUGGUGUAGCGGUGAAAUGCGUAGAUAUCAGGAGGAAUACCAGAGGCGAAGGCGACGAACUGGACAGUAACUGACACUCAACUACGAAAGCGUGGGUAGCAAACAGGAUUAGAUACCCUGGUAGUCCACGCUGUAAACGAUCGGUACUAGGAUUUGUGGGAGUUGACCCCUGCAGAUCCGGAGCUAACGCGAUAAGUACCGCGCCUGGGAAGUACGGUCGCAAGACUA